rnacentral:rRNA from 1 species
AUGCAUUGGGGAAGGGAAGGGAAGGGAAGGCAAGAGAAGGGAAGGGCGAGGGAGCGCCCAGAUCCACGGCGGCGUCAGCGCGCCGUCGUCGACCUGAUCCGCGUCCGUCCUCGAGGGAGGUCGGCCAUGGAGGUCCAACCCCGCCCGGCAGCAGCCAUGGACGGACGGAGACGCCCAAACCCUACCCUCAAGGACGACGCCUCAACCUUCAAGGACGCGCGCCGGCGACCGCGGAUCUCCGGUGACGGCUAUGGUGAGGGUGUAUCUGCGGACGUUCUUCCUCGGAUUCAUCAUCUCCCCCUGCUCGUGAUUCCUUUCUUGGUUUCUUUUCUUUUGUGUGCAGGAUGA